rnacentral:rRNA from 1 species
UUGGACAAUGGGCGAAAGCCUGAUCCAGCAACGCCGCGUGAGGGAUGACGGCCUUCGGGUUGUAAACCUCUUUCAGCAGGGACGAAGCGAAAGUMACGGUACCUGCAGAAGAAGGACCGGCCAACUACGUGCCAGCAGCCGCGGUAAUACGUAGGGUCCGAGCSUUGUCCGGCCUUCUUGGGCGUAAAGGGCUCGUAGGCGGUUUGUCACGUCGGGAGUGAAAACUCAGGGCUCAACCCUGAGCGUGCUUCCGAUACGGGCAGACUAGAGGUAUGCAGGGGAGAACGGAAUUCCUGGUGUAGCGGUGGAAUGCGCAGAUAUCAGGAGGAACACCGGUGGCGAAGGCGGUUCUCUGGGCAUUACCUGACGCUGAGGAGCGAAAGCAUGGGGAGCGAACAGGAUUAGAUACCCUGGUAGUCCAUGCCGUAAACGUUGGGCGCUAGGUGUGGGGACCUUCCACGGUCUCCGUGCCGCAGCUAACGCAUUAAGCGCCCCGCCUGGGGAGUACGGCCGCAAGGCUAAAACUCAAAGGAAUUGACGGGGGCCCGCACAAGCGGCGGAGCCUGCUGAUUAAUUCGAUGCAACGCGAAGAACCUUACCUGGGUUUGACAUAUACCGGAAAGCUGCAGAGAUGUAGCCCCCUUUUGGUCGGUAUACAGGUGGUGCAUGGCUGUCGUCAGCUCGUGUCGUGAGAUGUUGGGUUAAGUCCCGCAACGAGCGCAACCCUCGUUCUAUGUUGCCAGCACGUAAUGGUGGGGAYUCAUAGGAKACUGCCGGGGUCAACUCGGAGGAAGGUGGGGAUGACGUCAAGUCUUCAUGCCCCUUAUGUCCAGGGCUUCAAGCAUGCUACAAUGGCCGGUACAAAGGGCUGCGAAACCGCAAGGUGGAGCGAAUCCCAAAAAGCCGGUCUCAGUUCGGAUUGGGGUCUGCAACUCGACCCCAUGAAGUCGGAGUCGCU